rnacentral:rRNA from 1 species
GAUGAACGCUGGCGGCGUGCUUAACACAUGCAAGUCGAACGGAGUAAUAUGAAGUUUUCGGACUAAUUAUUACUUAGUGGCGGACGGGUGAGUAACGCGUGGGUAACCUACCUCAUACAGGGGGAUAACAGUUGGAAACGACUGCUAAAACCGCAUAACAAGUUGAGACCGCAUGAUCUUAACUUCAAAUAUUUAUAGGUAUGAGAUGGGCCCGCGUCUGAUUAGCUAGUUGGUGGGGUAAUGGCCUACCAAGGCAACGAUCAGUAGCCGGCUUGAGAGAGUGACCGGCCACAUUGGGACUGAGACACGGCCCAAACUCCUACGGGAGGCAGCAGUGGGGAAUAUUGGACAAUGGGGGCAACCCUGAUCCAGCGACGCCGCGUGAGUGAAGAAGUAUUUCGGUAUGUAAAGCUCUAUCAGCAGGGAAGAUAAUGACAGUACCUGACUAAGAAGCCCCGGCUAACUACGUGCCAGCCGCCGCAGUAA